AAUCUGCCUAGAUGUGGGGGAUAGCCGGCCCAACGGCCGGGUAAUACCGCAUACGCUCGCUUACCGGCAUCGGUGAGCGAGGAAACUUUCGAGGCAUCUAGAGGAGCUCGCGGCCUAUCAGCUAGUUGGUGGGGUAACGGCCUACCAAGGCGGUGACGGGUAGCUGGUCUGAGAGGAUGGCCAGCCACAUUGGGACUGAGAUACGGCCCAGACUCCUACGGGAGGCAGCAGUGGGGAAUAUUGCGCAAUGGCCGAAAGGCUGACGCAGCGACGCCGCGUGGGG
rnacentral:rRNA from 1 species